UCGGAUUCGUGGGCUGCUGCACAAAACUCCGUGCCCUGACCGAUCAGUUCCAAAGAAGAGACGUGAGCCAGACUGGCACGGCUUCAUUUCACUUCGACGAUUUUAUCCAGGUCACCAUGAGCAUAUGAAGAGGAAUGGACCAAUCAGAAUGGACACCGGCCCUUUAAAGUCUUCUCAUAGAAUAACGCUGUGUAUACUUAGCAAUGUGAAUUUUUUUAUUGCUAAAACCUUGUUGUAAUAAAAACGCAUUUAAACGUCACAUUCCAUUUUACGGUGAAGUUUAAUGUGUGUCGUAAUAAACUAACACGUGUGCCAUAACCUCCGUUGGCCCUCAGAGCUGCACGUCUAUAACCAAUAAAGCUUUUCCUCCCUUUGAUGGACA